AAAUAUCUGCUCGUUUUCUCAAGACAUCGCAUAUUAGCGACAGUUCUCUUCCGUGUUGCUAAUAGCCGGCUAGCUAGCUAGCGCCGUUAGCACCGCUAGCGUAUGACGACACUACGCAAUGACGACACUCAACGGCGCGCGUCUCUUCGCCCCUCCUCCGCUUUGACAUUGACCGUCGACGUGAUUUUGUAAGACAACGUGGCUAUCGUUUCACCGGUAACGCGUUUUCCCCCCUCCUCCGCUUUGGACUUGAACUUACAGUGAUUUUCUGAAGUGUUUACUAAGACACACCGUAAGCUUUUACAAGGCGUUAACUACAGCAGCCUUUAAUACCUGAACUCUUGAUUCAGCCAAGGUAAGUGCCCCCCCUUAUAUUUUCUAUGUAUGUGUUCAGCUGAUAUUUAGAAACAAAUAGGUGUGUUUAGCGCUGGAUGUCAUUUUAUUCCAGAGCUGUUGUUUGUAAUUAAAACUUUUAAGAUUAGGUGGUACAGUGUUUUUACUCCCUUCCAAACAGUAAAGUUCCUCUUUGUCUCUCAGUAGGAAAUUUAAACCAGACAGUACAAGGCUACAUUUCAGUGUUACAAGCCAAUCAGUUUGCUAAUUGUUCUGUGAGAUUUGUUUGCAAAGUUUAAGGUGUUAAGUAGGACUGUGAACAUCUGGGUCUGCUUGCUGCUGGCAUUCUGCCAGAGCCCCAGCAACAAGACCGCCUCCCAGCAACGAGACUGCCUGUCAGCCUUGCAAGGUACCCAAUUUUCCAAUUACUCUAUAACAAAACUGUUGUGGGCAACAAGACUGUCUCCUAAGUUUGCAAGCCAAUCACUUUGCCAAAUGUUCUUGUAAGAUUUGUUUGAAAAGUUUGAGGUGUUAAGUAGGACUGUGAACAUCUGGGUUUGCUUGCUGCUGGCAUUCGACCAGCGUCUCAGCAACAACACUGCCUCCCAGCUUUGCAAGGUAAUUACUUUCCCAAUUACUGUACACCAAAACGAAGUAACUGUCGUGGUCAACAAAUCUGCCUCCCAACUUUCAAGGUAAUCACUUUCUCAAUUACAAUAUACAAACUGUUAUGGAACAGAGAUUUUUUUGUUCUUGUAGUCAUCUUAUCUGUCAAUGUAUCAGAGGGUUAAAAUAACAAAUUGCUUGAAAUGCCAAUAAUUAAUAUUCUGUUUUUAUGUUGACAUUCUACCAGAUGCCGAGAAAAAAUAAAAGAUCCCAGGCACAAAAGAAGCGCUGGAAACCACUUGACCUGGUCGAUCCUGCUGUCCCAAUGCUCACUGGCCACAACCAAGAUGAGGCAGUCAGUAGUUUUCCAUCUGACCAGCAGACAGCACCAGCCGGGUUAUCUUUGGAAACACAGGAUAGACCCACCUCCUUAUGUUCCCCAGGUACCAAGAUUUCAGACAAUCGUCCACCAGCAAAACGAGUCUGGACAACUGAUGAUUUCCACAUGGCAUCAAAUUCUCCACCUAAAAAGCCUUUCCACAACAUAAAUGAACAACUACUGACAGAGGAGCUACAGAGAAACGCAGUUCAGAACUUCUGGUGUGUCAGUGCAACUCAUUGUCAAAGUGAUGAAAGGUACACAGAAUUCUCUCGAAAUCAUCAGUGCACAUGUAAUGCCCUCACAUUCCUGGCCUGCCUUAAUGAGGAACACCAGUUCAACACAGCCCGACUUGAUAAGGUGCUUGAACAGGGAGAUGCACUCUACUGUUGGAUUAAAACAAAUCUUCA